rnacentral:rRNA from 1 species
GUUUAAGCCGCCGCGGUAAUACGUAGGGAGCAAGCGUUGUCCGGAAUCAUUGGGCGUAAAGAGCGCGUAGGCGGCCCGGUAAGUCCGCUCUGAAAGUCAAAGGCUCAACCUUUGAAAGCGGGUGGAUACUGCCGGGCUAGAGUCCGGAAGAGGCGAGUGGAAUUCCUGGUGUAGCGGUGGAAUGCGCAGAUAUCAGGAGGAACACCAACGGCGAAGGCAGCUCGCUGGGACGGUACUGACGCUGAGGCGCGAAAGCGUGGGGAGCAAACAGGAUUAGAUACCCUCGUAGUCC